UUUAUCUCCCGAAAUAUCAUUUCCUGGAAUGACACACUUGCCGGAAUGAUCGAUCUCUUUGAAUAGGAUAGGAUGGAUAGAAUGAUUGUAUUAACAUAUUACGAAACAUUGCCUUCUUUCCGUGAAAUGACUUUAACCCUUCAGCGCGCGCUGUUGUAAAAAGUACAACACUAACAAAAAACCUCGCUUUUCGUAUACAGCGCAAGCGCGGUACAGUUUCGGUUACUUGAUGGCGCGCGUCCUGGAAGGUUAAGGACAACAGUCCGGGAAAUGACAUUUCACGAAGUGUUAUUUCGGAAAAUGUGAUAUCACUAGUACAAUAGGAAUUGAAAGAUUUAUUAUCGAGUAUAGUGCACAUAAAAAUGUUUAAGUAUGUCACUAUACAGGAAGUGAAUCAAAAAAAAUCAAAGGGGCUACAUCCUCAAUAGCGUUGGUAGAUCGCUUACGCUGAGAGUUUACUACUUGAACAUACAUCUACCUCGCACUAUAAUGAUUAAAAGAAAUAUCAUUCGUAAUAUCGUCCCCUUAAUGCUAGAACUAGGUAACUCGAAAUUUGACGUUUUUGAGUUGAAUAUACCAUUAUAUCGAGCUUUUUGAGCUCUAUAAUAUUGUUACGUUUAAGUUUGUUACGGCACAAAAUUAGUUAAAACAUCAACAUUAGAAUAAAACAAACAAAAAACAUCACGCUGAAUCCGCCACGCACGCCAACAUCAUUUCGCUCAGUGUAUAGCAUUUUCGAACAUCAACGACCAAUUUAAAUCACCGGCAACCCAAAGGGCCUCGGUAAAGCGACGACGCAAAAGCAGGCAUCGCCGUACCCGAAAAAGAAUAUCGCACACACACAUCCCCAUCGUUGACGGCAGCCGGGUUCAAUCGAUCGUCUUCUGCUACGAUCACGCCAUUCGUCUUUGUCAGUUUCAUCGCGCUGCACGCGACCCGUGAGUGGAGAAAAUUAAAGCGGAAAUUUGAAGCUGUACCGGGAAAAGGGUGCAAUUGCACGAAACCCAUAUCCCGCAAUUGUGCUUCACAGGAAGCGGCUAGACGAUUUUGGGCUGAGUCAGCGGUAGGGAGAAACACAACCUCCAAAAAACCAGUCGCCGAACGACAGACCAAUCACCCGGUGGCGCAAAAGUGAGGAUAGUUUGGCACAUUCCCAGGAGUGUCCAACCGAUUCGAAGAUCCAGUACUCGCGUGCCACGAGGCCGGAAGCAGACGAGAGACGCCAUCUUGACUGGCAGCGAUCGUUACGUGGGGACAAAGGCCUUCAAGAAGAAGAAGGUUGAAUCUAGAGUGAUUGUCGGAUGAAGGCUAAUUACCUCGUUGCCGUAGGGCCUUUAUUUGCAGCUUGGUUUCUCUUCACGGAGGUGGCAUCUCGCAGCUCAAGCGGGACGGAAUCACGGUUGAGGCAGGCACUGGACGAACGCGGACAAGCCAAUCGGAAGAUCCGAGUGCAUUAAGCUCGGAGCGCAAGGUGGACGACCCGAGGAGCAUACCCCGACCACGGAUACGAUCGGAUUCGGUGGACCGUAGACCGCCGACAGGUCAAGAGGCAACUUGGCGAGAAUUCCAGCUCCGGUUGCGCCGUCAGCCGGAUUCGCUUGGCGAAAGUACGAUCCAAGGAGCAUACAGCGGAGGCCAGCGGCGAAUAGGGUAGCUCCAGCGGAGUAAUUCCACGGAGCCGCCCGGGUCCGCUAAACGAACUGCGAUCAGGGUGAGUGGACGUCACACACGUACUCACUCCGGUCCGACAUCGACUGGGCGCUCUCGAUGGUACGACGUGGCACGGUGAGAAGCACCGGUGGGCCAAAUUCCCGACGGUUCGAGGACGAGUACAAACAGCGAUGAUGGGUCAGCGGAUGACCUGUGCGUUGGCGGCGGAGCGGCAUGGGGGACGCCCCAAGAAGAUAAGUGCUAGCAUUUAAGAUCAUAUUUGGCGAUUGCCACUCCAAAUGUUUAGCUAGUAAGCCAAUAAGCUAGAGAGGAAGAUGGGUAGACCCAAAUAUAUGUAUUGAUUUGCGAUUUGAUGUUUUUGUGGUUUGCGUUGAGCCUUUGCCCUUCAGUGUUUGCGGUUUUCGUUCUUUAAGCCUCGCUAACGGUAUUUUGCUCUAUCCGCUACCGGGGAACUUGC